rnacentral:lncRNA from 1 species
AAAAAAGAGGGAAACAAAGGGCUUUUGGCUCAGAGUCGAUGUUAUAUCCUGUGUUGGUUUCUUUUUAUUUCCUCGGUUUUCUUUUCUUAAUUCUUGACUUUUCACCGACUACCCUUUUCCGUGCUUCUUUCUUUUGAAUCUUCGAGUAUUUGAUUUUUUAAUAUUUUUUUUCUUUCUUUUUCUCGAUUCAUCACUUUUUCUUUUUUUUCUUUUUUUUGCACUUUCUAGGGCUUUGAGAGCUUUUGGGGUUUUUACCCCA